AUUGAACGCUGGCGGCAGGCCUAACACAUGCAAGUCGAGCGGAGCGGCGGACGGGCGAGUAAUGCCUAGGUAUCUGCCUGCUAGUUGGGGAUAAAGUCCGGAAACGGGCGCUAAUACCGCCCACUCUCAGACGAGCCUAGCUCGGAUUAGCUAGUUGGUGGGGUAAAGGCCUACCAAGGCGACGAUCCGUAACUGGUCUGAGAGGAUGAUCAGUCACACUGGAACUGAGACACGGUCCAGACUCCUACGGGAGGCAGCAGUGGGGAAUAUUGGACAAUGGGCGAAAGCCUGAUGCAGCCAUGCCGCGUGUGUGAAGAAGGUCUUCGGAUUGUAAAGCACUUUAAGUUGGGAGGCGUUACCAACAGAAGAAGCACCGGCUAACUUCGUGCCAGCAGCCGCGGUAAUUC
rnacentral:rRNA from 1 species